ensembl:lncRNA
CACCAGCUCAGACAAAUCUUUACAGUCACAGUGACAGUCCACUGGGUCUUCAGUUAUGACUGAGCAAGGACUCUGGUGUCCAGGUAUAAUUAAAAUACACUCAGACCUAGACUGGAAAAGCCUUCAGCACAGAAUGAGGUCAUCUUUUAAAUUUCACUAUUCACUUUCACUUCUCCACAUGACUGCUUGGUUGGAGUCACUCCAUUUUCUGAGGCUCUGGCUUUAACCUUUCUGGUUACCAUGGCAACGAAGACACACUUCCAUACCAUGAGCUGGAUCUAUGAGGAAGAAUUUCCCACUGUAUGCAUUCUGAAAAAACAUGACAUCGAACAGUUGGACAGAACUGUACAGGAAAACAUCAACUCUCCAAAAUUUACUUUCUUUAUGCAACUGACAUCUCCUAAGCAACAAACGGCUGAAAUUCUUUUCAAAAUCUGCAAGACUUCGUUAUUUUAGGAAAGCCUAGCUUUAAUUACUGUAGAAUGCUUUCUAAUGCUCAAAGACCACCUAAACUCAUUUGAUGCCCUUUUAAACUUUGUUCUGCUAUUAUUAUUUAGAGGAUGAAAUAGAUUUAAAGAGGGUUAUUUGCCCCAAAUAAGUAGUGGAAUUGAAACUUGAACUCAGAUCUUCCAAAUACAACUUACUACUCC